CGUGCCUCGCCUUAUCUCUUCUGGGGGCUUACCAGAAACCCCGGCAUCACUCCUCGCAUCUCUGAUCUCUGGGCUCCUCAGCCCGACACCAUCGAAGCUUUGCCUCGGGAGCCCUCAGAGGCCUUGGAAUCGCGUCUCUCUUUUAAAAGCAUCCGAUCGGAUGUCUUUUAGAGGUCUUGUUCCGAGCUGUGUCAACAGCCGUGCGCCGCGAGGAUCCAUUGCUGCGGCUUAGGUCUUGAAGAAGCGCAGAGAUAGGUAGGGGGCUGUGGCCCUCAGAUUCUCGGGCAUCCGUCUUGGCAGUUGCUGGAGUUUGUCAUUCCAUCAGCAUCUUCUUCCUCCCGGGUUCUGCGAGCUUCAUCAGCUCGCCUUCAUUCUCACCCGGCUCAUCUCGUUCCGCGUUCUCUCGGUCCUUGCGGCCGUUCUUGUGGCCCAGAGUUUUGUCUCCCCAUUGUGUCCCCUCGUCUGUUGUCUUGUGUGUCACGGGUGUCUGGGUGUAGUUGUCCCGGAGCUGCUCUGUCCUGCUGCCCAGCCUGGGUGUAGGUGUAAAAGGCCCAGUCCCAGGCCCCUGUAAUUUGAAAUUUGUCAUGUAGGGUGUAGUUGGAGUCUAGAGGGUAUUCCUAGAUCCUCACAAGAUGUCUGGAGCUGUGAAGUUACCCUGCAGCACUUUGACUUUUGUCUCAGCUUUCUUUCAGAUGCGGACGGAUGAAAUCGGUGGCAGAGCGCCCCAUCCAGGGUAAGGGGGUUCCCGCGAGAAGGAAGUAGAGCCAGCUGGCAGCAGUCAAGGCGAAGUGGGCAAGGCGGUCCAGUCGCGUUUCGCUGAGACGUCCUCGCCAACCGGCCGGCACAGCUGCUUCGCCGCUCCCGUGAGCCCUGCGGAAGCGUUACGGAACCGUGUGACGGAGCCUUUUCCACGUAAAGGGGCCGUGUGGGUGGCCUUCAGGAACGGGCCGAGGGGUUGUCGCGCGCCCUGUGACGACGGCGUCCGGCUCCCGGCGCGGCCGAAGCGUGCGGCCUCAGGACGUGGCCGUUCGCAGGAGACCCUGACCGAGAGACGGCUGCCUGGCGAUGGCAGGAACUUCCUGGAUGGCGAGGCGGCCUUCCUUGGCGCUCCAUGUGGAUCCUCCCCGCCGGGCAUCCAAGAGCUGAGUCGGAGGCUGCGAAUUGCAGAGGGGCUGAAAUCGGGGUGCUGGGUCGGGACUCUGGACCUGGGGUUAUGGAGUCAGCUUUGGGGACGGGGAGGUCCAGGCUGUGGCCCCUUAGGCCACGUGAAGGGAGAGCCUCACAUU